rnacentral:rRNA from 1 species
UUCGCCCUUAGAGUUUGAUCCUGGCUCAGAGCGAACGCUGGCGGCAGGCUUAACACAUGCAAGUCGAACGCAUCCUUCGGGAUGAGUGGCAGACGGGUGAGUAACACGUGGGAACGUGCCCUCCGGUCUGGGAUAACCCUGGGAAACUAGGGCUAAUACCGGAUACGUGCUUUGGCAGAAAGGUUUACUGCCGGAGGAUCGGCCCGCGUCUGAUUAGCUAGUUGGUGGGGUAACGGCCUACCAAGGCGACGACCAGUAGCUGGUCUGAGAGGAUGAUCAGCCACACUGGGACUGAGACACGGCCCAGACUCCUACGGGAGGCAGCAGAAGGG